GAAGGUGGAACCUUAUGGAAGGUGAUUAGGUCACAGGAAUAGAGCCCUCCUGAAGGGCUUCUGUCCUCUUUCAGGGGACCAAAAUGCAGCUGCCUUGUUCCUUCCAUGUGAGACAAAGCAAGAAGUGAAUCACAGGCUUUUUGGACAGGGAGAGGGAGAGGGCAAGAUGUAGCUAUUAGUGUCUUCCAUUUAUAUGGUCCUAAAACCCACUUCACUCCAGAGGUCCUAUGCAUUACCCUUCAAGGAAGGAAUGUUGAAGAGGAGGUCCGCAUAGCUUUCCCCAGCCAGUCGACAUUUGGCAUAGCGGUAGAAAGCCGGCCAAUCCAGUGAUGCAUCCAGAGAGGACAAAGAGGGACACCCCCUCUUCUCCACAUCUCACAGUGUAAACGUCUUUCCUGAUGGGUUUUUAUAACCAUAUAUCCUUCAUAAUAAACCAGUUCAGCUCCGUAGGCCCUGUUACAACAAAGGCUGCUCCCACAACAGAAAGUACAAGUAGGUGGUCAACUUCAGUGGCAGCUAGCUGUACAGUACCAUCUCAGCGGGCACACAAGAUAAACAAGUCUUCAGGGCAUGGCUACCUUCACCUGAAUGCCAAAGAAUGGCCAAGGGUGUCUCAGGACCCAGAAAGGAAACAGUGAAGGUGUAGACUUAGAGUCACACAGCCCACUCAGAUCAUGUCCAGUGGAGCCAUGGGCUCCAUGAGACCUCAGGACAGAAGGGCCAUUAGCAUAUCAUCCCACUGUGAAAGCUACAGGCAUACAAUAUCAACAGAGCCACAAAAAUCAACCCUGGGCGCAAGCCCACCAACCAAGAAGCUCUAGAAGGUGUGACCUCUACUCUGGUGAUCCCAAGAGGCAGAGCCUUGAGACAAAGAUUGUUUUCCAGGUGAAAGACUUUGGACCUUCUGAGAAUGCUUGACUCCUGCCUUCUUGUCUGCUUCUCCCUUUGGACUGGGAAUGCCCAGCUCUUGACUGUCCUGUAAGUGUAGUCAGGACACCUAUAAAAUGUCUGGUUCCAUGGGUUCACAGCUGGAAAGCAAUGCACCCCAGGAUAAACAGCACCUCGUACUGUCAUCCAUGGCUGAUUAAGUGAUACUGAGAAAAGACCUCGGAUGGCUGGAAUGUGGGUCUGGAGUGCCUGUCACUGGACUGUUGCAAUCCUAACCUCAAGUGGACGAUAGGAGGAAUAAUGGGUCUCUUCUGGGAAGUGACGGAGAGUAGAAACAUCAUCCAUGAGAUCAGUAGAUGAUCAAAGGCCUGGAGUUGCUUGGUCACUUCCACUGUGUGCAGACACAGUGCAAAAGGAACUGUUUGUACACCAUGAAUUAACUUCUCACCAGCCAUGGAAUCUGACAGCACUGUGAUUUGACAUCCCAGCUGACAAAUCGAUCAGAAAUAAAUUCCCAUUUCUAAGCCA
rnacentral:lncRNA from 1 species